GAUCAUGGCUCAGGAUGAACGCUGGCGGCGUGCUUAACACAUGCAAGUCGAACGAAGCACCUUGAUUUGAUUCUUCGGAUGAAGGUCUUGGUGACUGAGUGGCGGACGGGUGAGUAACGCGUGGGUAACCUGCCUCAUACAGGGGGAUAACAGUUAGAAAUGACUGCUAAUACCGCAUAAGACCACAGCACCGCAUGGUGCAGGGGUAAAACUCCGGUGGUAUGAGAUGGACCCGCG
rnacentral:rRNA from 1 species